UACAGAGGUCCCAAGCGUUGUUCGGAUUCAUUGGGCGUAAAGGGUGUGUAGGUGGCGCCGUAAGUCGGGUGUGAAAUUUCGGAGCUUAACUCCGAAACUGCAUUCGAUACUGCGGUGCUUGAGGACUGGAGAGGAGACUGGAAUUUACGGUGUAGCAGUGAAAUGCGUAGAUAUCGUAAGGAAGACCAGUGGCGAAGGCGAAUCUCUGGACAGUUACUGACACUGAGGCACGAAGGCCAGGGGAGCAAACGGG
rnacentral:rRNA from 1 species